rnacentral:rRNA from 1 species
GACGAACGCUGGCGGCGUGCUUAACACAUGCAAGUCGAACGGUGAUGCCCCAGCUUGCUGGAGUGGAUCAGUGGCGAACGGGUGAGUAACACGUGAGCAACCUGCCCCAGACUCUGGAAUAAGCGCUGGAAACGGCGUCUAAUACUGGAUACGAAACUGGCCCGCAUGGGCAUGGUUUGGAAAGUUUUUCGGUUUGGGAUGGGCUCGCGGCCUAUCAGCUUGUUGGUGAGGUAAUGGCUCACCAAGGCGACGACGGGUAGCCGGCCUGAGAGGGCGACCGGCCACACUGGGACUGAGACACGGCCCAGACUCCUACGGGAGGCAGCAGUGGGGAAUAUUGCACAAUGGGCGAAAGCCUGAUGCAGCGACGCCGCGUGGGGGAUGACGGCCUUCGGGUUGUAAACCUCUUUCAGCAGGGAAGAAGCGAAAGUGACGGUACCUGCAGAAGAAGCACCGGCUAACUACGUG